GACCCCAGUAUUGGCAUAGUUGUGGUGUACAAUGGUAUUGUUAUUGGAGGCAAUGGUGGGAAGACGAGGCAUCGCGUGAAAUGAGGCGACUGGCGAGUUUUGAAUGUGGAGGAGACACCCCCCCCCCCUUCCUUGUGAUGGGAGCAGUGGUGGACGGAUGAUUGAAGUCGGACAGUGGGGAGCAGAAGGUGGUGGCAGAUGUCCCGGUAGAGCUAGAUGUGGUACUUGAAUUAGCCGAUAUGAUGGACGUACGAGUUUAAGGUGAGCGUGUGGAGAGGUUGUGGGUGGCCGGAACAGAACGAUGACGUAUCUAUUUGUGGACCAAUCGGCAUGGGGUGGAGAGGACGAGCAACGCCACAGUCCAGAGUAAUGGAAGAGGCCGUGAUCUUGAG